rnacentral:misc_RNA from 1 species
CGGGUUCUGCCCGGUACGAGCCUCAAUCAUCCCUGAGGCUAUUCAUCAUCCAAGGGGGCUGUCCCUGCCCGGGCCCUGGCCCGACGCACAUGGUCCCCACCUGACGUACUGGGCGUCAGUGGAUAUUCCGGCAAACGGCCAUGGCGGUCCCGCC